rnacentral:lncRNA from 1 species
AACAAUAUUCUGCUGAAGAAUGACUACAAGGAGUAACAGCUAGAACUUACAAGAAAAUUUGCUCCAGGUACAACAAUUUCUAACAUAUCUAACAGGAAGCAUCAACCACAUGAUGAUAAAUGAAUUAGAAGCAGAUAUCAUAUACAUAGAGAGAUUAUUAUGCAUUCCCUGCACCUUUUUGCUUUAGAAUAGCAAUCAAUAGAUGAAAUCAUGAUCCUAAGGUAGAUAAUUUAUUUAAUGCAUAGUAACUCCAAUCAAGUGUUUCCAUCAUUAAGUAUAAAUAUCUUUACAAUCAAAGUAAUCUAAUAAAACUCUAUGAACUUUGAUAAUUAUAAAUCAGGUGUUUCCAUCAUUAAGUAUGAAUAUCUUUACAAUCGAAGUCAUCCAAUAAAUCUCUAUGAACUUUGAUAAUUUAUAAAUCAGGUGGUCAGCACUUCCUUGUUCAAAGUGACUCCAUCUACUCAUGAAAACACCUUUCCCCUGUCAAACUUUUAUUCCAGUUAUUUCCAUCAAGAUUAUUCUCUAAUAAUUGUUGCUGUGAGUUAAAACUUGAGACCACAAGUCAACAAAUAAAUACAGCAAUCAUGAAAAUGCUUAAAUGCACAUACAUAAAAUAAUUAUGAUUCUUGACAACCGUAUCUAUCGUCAUCAAAACAAACCUU